AUUAAGCAUUUCAGAAUGUACAUUGUUCCCUGUGGUUUCUACUUUCUACAUGCAUGUGAACGAGAGAAAUAGUCUUAAGGUAGGAAUGCAGAACAAAGCCACACAGAAAACAUUUAAUAAAAAUUAACAAGUUUUGCCACAUAAAUGCUGCUAGUCAAGAAGAUGUAUGCAAAGUAAGUUGCAUAUAUUUUUAAAAAUCAGAAUUGCCAAAUCUCCAGAGAUAAAUAGAACUAGAAAGGUCAACAGCAGGUGGAACAAGUGACUGUCCAGAAGGCAGCAACUGUUUGGCAUCACUGUGCUGUUGUGUGGGGACCUGUGUCAGGUGGGGUAACAGGUAAUGCUCACUGACUGUGGCGGCCAGGAGCUUCAGAGGGGCCUGUGAAUCAGGGAUGGGAGAUGAGGGUAGAGACGAGACUUUUCAGCUUAAGGAGUGUUCCCCUGGGAACAGGGCCAAUUGGAAAACUCCCAGGCACCA
rnacentral:lncRNA from 1 species